GUUAGAACACCACCCCGCCGAUGUGGAGGAUGACCUGUGGCGGUUUAUUAGAAAACAGCAACAGAAAAGUGAUAUUCUAUUUCCUUACCAUUUUGGGUUCCACUGGAUUCUUAUGGUAAUUCAAGUUCAGACCUCCUCAGUUCUCGUCCACGACUCUCUGAAUAUGGAUCCGGCGCUUUGGGCCGACAUGAGAAAAAUGAUGCAAAAGGUUUGGAGACGGUUCGUAGAUACCAAGGUCGGUGAAUUCAAAAAAGAGCUACAUUUUAAAAUGGCAGUGCGGACGACUGGGGAUAUUCAGCCACCGGGGACCAAUCUAUGUGGAUACUAUGUUUGUGAGAGGAUCCGGAGAUACUGCAAUGAGCGGGACCAGAAGUGUGAGAACA